GUGUGUGAGUGUGUGCACCCGCUUUUAAUAAAAAAAACACUUCUUUGUCCGUCUUCCAAUCUAAUCUCAUUGCACUGAUACCAGCCCUUGGUGCUAGGGAACUUCCUGGCGCGAGACCUCGACCUCUGGGGCUUAAUUAACAUUCUUGAGGUUUCAUCUGCAUAGAAUAAUGCUAAGCACUCUUAAUGCAGUCGCAUCAGAACUUUAGAACACCCGUAAAAACCUUCGAACGUUCACCUCUUCGCAUCGCAACGUGUCGCCUAACGUUCUGGCGCCCGCGACCGUUCAUCAGGUUAGCCACGCAACACGAGGCGCGCAUGGCUGAUAUGAAAGCACAGUUGACUCAUGAUCUUAAAACUUACCCUGUAAUUCGGCGGCGUUGUUGCUCAAGGGCCAUUUAGCUCGGAGUUCGAGUCGGGAAAUGUGAAUCCAUUCUAAACAGCAGUCGGCGAGCAGAGGAACCAGUAUGGCGGCUACAAGGCGGCUACAGAAGG
rnacentral:misc_RNA from 1 species